rnacentral:misc_RNA from 1 species
UGGGGCGCACCUUAAAUACCCUACU